CUUGGAUUAACGAAGUCGUGUAUACUGACGAUCCCUAAAAAAAGAAAGUCGUGUAUACUGACUACGUACAAUCAGUAGUCGUAUACGUUAUAUCGAUGGGGUGAUCUGAACGUAGGAACGGGGGAUGAUUGAGUUUUAGUUGUAUACGCCGCGUGCGCAGGCGUAAACUCAUUUCCUUGGCGAUUGACAGAAUUUCCACACGGCAAGAUACAGUAGUUUCGUGGCAUGCAUAACCUGCAUGCAGGUUUAGUGCUAAUCCAUUUGGCAACAUUAAUUGUUCGAGUCCGCUUGCGUCGAUAACCAAGAUAGUUUGCUUUCGAUAGCUAAGCUGGCUAGCACACGUUCGAGUUCAAAUCAUCCCUUCUACGGUACAAUCAAGCCGAUCUUUCCCUCCCAAGUCUCCCAACGGCAAAUCCAACUAGCCUUGUGUCAUCUCGAUCAUCAUCCUUCGAUGAAGCCGGUCAUCCGCGGCACGGAGUUGCGCAGCGGCCGGCGCAGGUCGCGCUGCCGCCCCGCCCGCACAGUCCCGGAAUAUUACGCCGCCGUGGACGACUCCCCGUCGUCCGACCGCCAUCUGCCGGAGAUUGGGAGAUGCGGCGGCACGAUGAUGGGCCUCUUUUCGCCGCUGCCUUCACUACGGUCCUCUUCUUCUUCGCCGCCGGCGGCUUCUUCCCACCGGCGCAGCACUAGCGCCGCCCUCGGCACGUCCACCGGCCACGACCGCUGCUUGGGGCGAAUCGGCACCGUCGUCGGCGUGAUCAUCAUCGCGGGCGCCGUCGGCUGAUGCUUCUGGGAUGCGUCGUCGGCGUAAUGAGCGUGCUCCGGCCAGAGCACCUCGAACUCGUCGAGCUCUUGCUCCAUUGCGUACGUUGCCACCUCAGUACGUAAGGCCGGCCGGCGGUGGCGUUUAUACUGGCAAGAGGGCCUACCGGCCGGCCGAGAGCAGCUAGCCAGCUAGCGCGCGAGACAGCCCGUAUUGCAUCCUUCGUGCUAUAUACCGGCUCGGCACGCAGUCCGUAUGAACGAGGGAUUCCACCGUGUCUGAUCACGAAAUAUUACCGCC
rnacentral:lncRNA from 1 species